GACGAAGGGGGCUAGCGUUGUUCGGAAUUACUGGGCGUAAAGCGCGUGUAGGCGGUUGUCCAAGUCGGGUGUGAAAGCCUUGAGCUCAACUCAAGAAAUGCACUCGAUACUGGGUGACUUGGGGACCGGAGAGGAUAGUGGAAUUCCCAGUGUAGUGGUGAAAUACGUAGAGAUUGGGAAGAACACCAGUGGCGAAGGCGGCUAUCUGGACGGUUUCUGACGCUAAGACGCGAAAGCGUGGGGAGCAAACAGG
rnacentral:rRNA from 1 species